rnacentral:rRNA from 1 species
AGUGAACGCUGGCGGUAGGCCUAACGCAUGCAAGUCGAACGGCAGCACAGUAAGAGCUUGCUCUUACGGGUGGCGAGUGGCGGACGGGUGAGGAAUACAUCGGAAUCUACUUUUUCGUGGGGGAUAACGUAGGGAAACUUACGCUAAUACCGCAUACGACCUACGGGUGAAAGCAGGGGAUCUUCGGACCUUUCGCGAUUGAAUGAGCCGAUGUGGGAUUAGCUAGUUGGCGGGGUAAAGGCCCACCAAGGCGACGAUCCGUAGCUGGUCUGAGAGGAUGAUCAGCCACACUGGAACGGAGACACGGUCCAGACUCCUACGGGAGGCAGCAGUGGGGAAUAUUGGACAAUGGGCGCAAGCCUGAUCCAGCCAUACCGCGUGGGUGAAGAAGGCCUUCGGGUUGUAAAGCCCUUUUGUUGGGAAAGAAAAGCAGCAGGUUAAUACCCCGCUGUUCUGACGGUACCCAAAGAAUAAGCACCGGCUAACUUCGUG